CCUACGGGAGGCAGCAGUGGGGAAUAUUGGUCAAUGGGCGCGAGCCUGAACCAGCCAAGUAGCGUGAAGGAUGACGGCCCUACGGGUUGUAAACUUCUUUUAUAAAGAGAUAAAGUGAGGCGCGUGUGCCUUUUUGUAUGUACUUUAUGAAUAAGGAUCGGCUAACUACGUGCCAGCAGCCGCGGUAAUACGGAGGAUCCGAGCGUAAUCCGGAUUUAUUGGGUGUAAAGGGAGCGUAGAUGGGUUGUUAAGUCAGUUGUGAAAGUUAGGGGCUCAACCAGAAAACUGCAAUGGAUACUGGCAGUCUUGAGUACAGUUGAGGUAGGCGGAAUUCGUGGUGUAGCGGUGAAAUGCUUAGAUAUCACGAAGAACUCCGAUUGCGAAGGCAGCUUACUAAACUGCCACUGACAUUGAUGCGCGAAAGUGUGGGUAUCAAACAGGAUUAGAUACCCUAGUAGUC
rnacentral:rRNA from 1 species